GAGACCCCACAAUCUGCGCCAACUACCGUGGUAUUAGCCUCCUCAACAUCGCAUAUAAGGUUCUAUCGAGCGUAUUGUGUGAAAGAUUAAAGCCCACCGUCAACAAACUGAUUGGACCUUAUCAGUGUGGCUUUAGACCUGGAAAAUCAACAACCGACCAGAUAUUCACCAUGCGCCAAAUCUUGGAAAAGACCCGUGAAAGGAGAAUCGACACACACCACCUCUUCGUCGAUUUCAAAGCUGCUUUCGACAACACGAAAAGGAACUGCCUCUAUGCCGCGAUGUCUGAAUUUGGUAUCCCCGCAAAACUAAUACGGCUGUGUAAACUGACGUUGAGCAACACGAAGAGCUCCGUCAGAAUCGGGAAGGACCUCUCCGAGCCGUUCGAUACCAAACGAGGUUUCAGACAAGGCGAUUCCCUAUCGUGUGACUUUUUCAACCUGCUUCUGGAGAAAAUAGUUCGAGCUGCAGAACUUAGUAGAGAAGGUACUAUCUUUUAUAAGAGUGUACAGCUGCUGGCGUAUGCUGAUGAUAUUGAUAUCAUCGGCCUUAACACCCGCGCCGUUAGUUCUGCUUUCUCCAGACUAGACAAGGAAGCAAAACAAAUGGGUCUGGCAGUGAACGAGGGCAAGACGAAAUAUCUCCUGUCAUCAAACAAACAGUCGUCGCACUCGCGACUUGGCACUAACGUCACUGUUGACAGUCAUAACUUUGAAGUUGUAGAUAAUUUCGUCUAUUUAGGAACCAGUAUUAACACCACCAACAAUGUCAGCCUGGAAAUCCAACGCAGGAUUGCUCUUGCCAACAGGUGCUACUUCGGACUGAGUAGGCAAUUGAAAAGUAAAGUCCUCUCUCGACGAACAAAAGCCAAACUCUAUAAGUUAAGGCUUGGACGAUGUCAACAACUGAUGAGUCGACGUUGCGAGUUUUCGAGAGAAAAGUUCUGCGAAAGAUUUAUAGUCCUUUGCGCGUUGGCCACGGCGAAUAUCGCAUUCGAUGGAACGAUGAGCUGUACGAGAUAUACGACGACAUUGACAUAGUUCAGCGAAUUAAAAGACAGCGGCUACGCUGGCUAGGUCAUGUUGUCCGAAUGGACGAAAACACUCCAGCUCUGAAAGUAUUCGGCGCUGUACCCGCCGGGGGAAGCAGAGGAAGAGGAAGACCUCCACUCCGUUGGAAGGACCAAGUGGAGAAGGAUCUGGCUACGCUUGGAAUAUCCAAUUGGCGCCACGUAGCGAAAAGGAGAAACGACUGGAGCGCUGUUGUUAACUCGGCUAUAAUCGCGUAAGCGGUGUCUACGCCAAUUAAGAAGAAGUAUUGUGAAUUGGCGCAUCUUCUGCAUACAUUUUUAAGAAAAAAAACUGUAACAAAUCUUUAAAAUUUAAAUAGAAAUAAUAAAAUCCAUUUAAAACUUAUCUUCCUCAACAAUUUAACGACGUAAUAUGUCUUUAUGUAAAAUGGCAACUACAACAGGGUUGCAAUUAUAUUUUUGCGUGACAUUGCACGCAAAUAUACAUAGGUUUUGGUCUGACAUAUUUUACAGCCCUUGCAAAUAUUUUUCUGCGUGUGUUUGUUGUUGUGCCGUUGUAAAUCUGCAAUUCUUGCACCGUGCACCGGGUCUUGCAAGGGCAAGAGAAUACCCCUUAUGUGUAUUCGUUGACAUUUGGUACUGCUAAGUAGAGCAAUACUCAGGUGGUUUUUAACAGUUAUAUUGCAUGUAGAUGAUGUUAUCUUCCAGUUUCAUAUAUGUACAUAUUUUUACAAUCAGGGGUGUUGUGGAAUCUGAUAGUUGUCGGAAUCAGAAUUGAAACCGAUCAAAAAAAGGCAGUAGGUGUCAUGAAUUCAGACAUUAUUGGUUUGACAUUCGAAACAGAAUUUGUAUCGGUUUUGGGUGUCACAGAAACCAAUUUUAUCAGUUUUGCUGUCAGAAACAAAGCAAGAAAAUAGUCGCAUACAGAUUUGAAAUGUAAGUUAAGAAAUCGAGUUAUUUUAUUGUUACGAAUUGAUUUAUCUUUAUUUCUAUAGAAGAAAGCAUAUGAAUAAAGUACGAGAUGUUUUAAUUAUUGAGUUUUUUGGGAGGGAAAGAAAUAAUUAAUUGAAGCGAAAUUUUUAGGGUUUAUAGUUCUAUAUUUAAACAUCACUCAAAAAUUUUUUGGAUACGGAUUCUGUGAUAUUCUGCCUUAGGGAAGCAUUUGCCCAAUACAUCUCGCGUGUGCAUUUGUCGGAUGGCGGAAGGUAUACAGGUCGCAAUUUCUGUCGGAAACAAAAAAUUUAAAGAGAUUCAUAUUUGCCAAUAACUUAUGUUCAAGUUAAACUAGGAAAAUUUCAAAAAACAAAAUUCUAAAUUUUUUUAAAAAGUGGUUUUUGACCAAAAAAAUGUUACUUUAUGUUGCUUAAACAUAUGUUCAAACUUUAUUUUGUUAAUUUUUUUAGUUUAAAUAGAAGAUAAUUUAAUGCCAAAGAUAAUAAGCUUUGCCCCAAUUCCAUACGUUUAGUUUUUUUCAAUCCUGCCCGCCAAUUAAGAAAAAUCGUAAAAAUGAAAAACAGAGUCAAAGUUUUCGCUUUCUGCCCAAGCGCUCAUAUAUCGCUCGGUCACUAUUUCCCUUCUAGCUUCAACAAUAUUUCGAAUUCCCAUCUAUAUUAUCUCUUAAAAUCUUUCUUUAAUUCGGAACUUUGACAGCUAAUCGACUAAUUGACAGCUAAUCGAGUUCAGUAGGUUUUGACGUUUAUCAAUUGGAAACGAGCGAUGGCCAGCUUGAAAUUUUACCAAAAAAAUGUGUAAACGGAGGGAUUUGUUGCAUCGUUCAAGACCACUUAUAAAAAAUGUAAAACAAUGAAAAUUAAAUAAAUUUAUGAAAUUUAAAGAUAUUUGAUGAAACGUUUUGUAAUUUGAAGCAUCAUAGUUUUAUUUUCAAUGGAAAAUGAUUAAAAACAUUUAAUGAUUGAGAACUAACAAGCUUAAAUCCUACUAUUGUGUAUUGAAAGGACAAAAGUCAGUUGUUAUAAUAUUCUUUAAAAAGAUUUAAAUAGUUUCUCCAUAUAAUAAAUAACCAAUAUUUAGUAAUUUUUAUUCGUACUAAAUGUUGGGUAUUGGGUUGAUAAAUGCCCAAAAAUUGUUAUUUUGUUCAACCUGACCAUAAUGGAAAAUGUUAUAAAAAACGCUAAUUUUGAGGCGCUCUCACACUGAAAUAAGUUUAACAUCCCUUAAUUCCUGGUAUUCAUUUGCAAGUUUUGUCACAUUAGUAAACAGUUGGUUUGAAUAUUGGUUUUGCUUAUGUUCGAAAAGACGACAAUCCAAUCAGAUUCUGUGACACCAUUGAUAAUCAGAAUUGGUUUGCAAUUCUGACAGCUAAGCAAUUCUGUCUUGGAUUCCACAACACCCCUGAAUGUAGCACCUCUAAAGGGAUUUGCUUAAGUGGUUUAGGAGAUGUGCACAUUAAACCAUUUAGAAGGCGAGGCCCUGCAAAAUUUUUAUUCCACAUGUGCCCCUUGCGACCCUCUGUGCCAAAUUACAGUUCCUUAUCUUAAUUUAGUUUAAGUUAUGGUCCUUUAUACGUUUUCCAUAAAUGGAAUUUUGCGGGCGUGGCAGUGGUCUGAUUAUGCCCAUCUCCGCCUUUUUCCCCAAGGAACAGUGUAUCAACUUUCAUCAAGAUAUCUUAAUUUUUACUCAAGUUACAACUACACUGGCGGACGGACGACCGACAGACAGACAGCAAGCGAGUUUCAACUCGUCUCGCCAUCCUGAUCAUUUACAUAUAUAUAUACAACCAGAUAUCUAUCUCGAUUAGUUUUUGGUGAUACAUACAACAGUUAGGUGAACAAAACUAUUAUACUCGGUAGCAACAUGUUGGAAGAGUAUAAAAAUAGUUUAACUAUUUAUAAAUAAUUCGACUGUAAUUUGAGAGUUAGUUUAAGAAUAUUUCAAAUAUGUAUAUUCAUGCUUUUUUUUAACGGUAGAAGUCGUGGUGAGUUGUCUUUUACAUUGAAACAGCAAUAAUGCUCAAAUGAGAACAACAACACUACAGAAGGGCGACACGCCGACCCGAAACUCAUCUCUUUGCUUGUUGUGAGAGCUCAUAAUCUCGUUUUAAGUUGACAGCAUGAGUUCAUGAUCAUUGAGCAUUCAUGAGUAAAUUUCUUACAAAACUUUAAGCUUUUUAUUUUAUUAAAAUUUUUCUAUGAGUUAUAAAAUUCAUAAGAACAAAAACUCCCUAAAAUAAUCAAACUUUAACCGUUUACAAUUUAAAAAGUUAGGAUAAGGAAUUUGUUGUGAUUGAGCCUUUUGAAGAGCAUUACAUUCCUAUAAAGCCUAUGAAACGAUAUACUUUUUGAAGUAGUUAUAAGCUAGAUUUUAAUUAUAAUAUCUGAUAACGUGAAUAAUUUAAAAACUGUAGAAUUCUCCGAAAAUGAUAUUUAUUUUUGACUUUCGGUUAAAUUAUUUUUGUUUAUUAAAUUUAAAUUUUGUAAGAGAAACAAAUGGGUCUGGUGAACGAGGGCAAGACGAAAUAUCUCCUGUCAUCAAACAAACAGCCGUCGCACUCGUAACUAUUCACCUACGCCACUGUUGACAGUCAUAACUUCGAAGUUGUAGAUAAUUUCGUCUAUCUUGGAACUAGCAACAACAACAACGUCAGCCUCGAAAUCCAACGAGGAUAUCUCUUGUCAACAGGUGCUACUUCGGACUAAGUAGAAUUCUGCUAUAUGGUGCAGAGGCAUGGACGAUGACAACGAGAGAAAAGUUCUGCGAAAGAUUUAUGGUCCUUUGAGCGUUGGACACGGCGAAUAUCGCAUUCGAUGGAACGAUGAGCUGCUUGAGAUAUACGACGACUUUGACAUAAGUAGUUCAGCGAAUUAAAAGACAGUGGCUACGUCCGAAUGGACGAAAACAUUACAGCUCUGAAAGUAUUCGACGCUGUACUCGCCGGGGGAAACAGAGGAAGGGGAACACAUCCACUCCGUUGAAAGGACCAGGUGAAGAGGGACCUGGCUUCGCUUGGAAUCUCCAAAUGGCGCCACUUUGCGAAAAGAAGAAAAGUAAUCGGUUUCUACACCAAUAAAGAAGAAGAAGAAGUGUAAGUAUUAAAAUGUUUGCUUUUAUUGAGGUUUUAAGGAUUUUUUUAAAUCGAUUGUGAUUAGAAUAAAUAUGUAUUUAUAUAAUUGACCGUUUAGCUUCUAAAAUUAAUGUUUCCUAUCUAUUAGAGCGGACAUUGUAUCGGGAGUGGAUUGAAAUAAACAUGCUUUGGAGUGGUAAUAACAAAGUAUAAUUUUUAGGAACACUUAGUAUACUUUGAGCUGUUUAUUGUAUUACAUGCACGCACUCACAAACCACACAAAGAAUAUAAGCUAUUUAUAAUAGAAAGCGUUACCACAGCAUCAUAGGCCACAGAGUAAUUGUUGUCUCUUUGUAAAAUUAUUUACGAAAUGUUCGUUAUCUCCCAUAAAAUAGAAUGGAACUGUCUCCUGUUCAAUAUAUCUGUAUUUAUUCCUAAUUAGUAACAAAGUAACUUAUACAAAACUUAUCAGCAGGCUGAUAUUCAUAUUCACUUUGACAGCUAGGAACGCCGUUGUGACGCUCAAUGCAAAUAAGUAUAGCUAAAAACGAUCAUCACUUAUCGGCAAAGCGCCUUCAGCCUGGCAUAAAUUUCUGCUAAAAUGAAAGUCACGGGUGGAGCACUGACUACUUCUCAGCCUGAUGAGAUAGGCGCACACUUUACCAUACAUUCUUUGGAGCAUGUUCAUAUGGAUUACCUAUUUCAAGCUUUUAUUCAAAUAUGCCCAAAGAGCACACACAAAACCGUUAAAGUGGGUUGAAUAAACAAUUCAUCGAAAUCCUCAAUUGGAAAUAAUAUAUAUGUACAUAGUAAUAAAUACUAAAAAGUAGUAUAACAAACUGCAAGGGCACCUUUUACCAUAUCUACAUACAUAAGUACAUGUAUUUGUAGUGUUCGCAAACAUACAUACAUACAUAUGUGCAUAUACAAGUAUAUUAAAUUUCUACGCAUGCACCUACGUAAUAGCUCUUGAACAUUUAUUAAUAAAUAAUAAGGAUAAAUAUUAAGAACA